rnacentral:rRNA from 1 species
CGCCGGUUGUUAGCCGGUCCGUCAGUGGCCCGUCGCUCGACCGAGGUGUCGCUAGGCCCUUUUUGGGCCGCAUCGCCUCCUCCGAUAAACGGAUAGCGGGACAGGACGUCGCAGGGCGAAGGCUGCCGUCCCGCCGCACUCCUAGCGAGUGGGCGGGCGCGUAGUUCAUCCCCGUUGGCGACGGCGGACCCGUCGGAGGCCGGUGGCUUGCGGCGAGUAGGUCGGUCACCCACCCGACCCGUCUUGAAACACGGACCAAGGAGUCUAACAUGUGCGCGAGUCAAUGGGUCUUGAACAGGCCCAGGGGCGCAAUGAAAGCAAAGGUCGGCUCCACGUCGACCGAGUUGGGAUCCCGCCUCCCUCACGAGGGGCGGGCGCACCAACGACCCGUCCUAUGCGGCUCGCCGCUUGGGCGGAGUGUGAGCGUACACGUUGGGACCCGAAAGAUGGUGAACUAUGCCCGGACAGGACGAGGCCAGAGGAAACUCUGGUGGAGGUCCGCAGCGGUUCUGA